UCUGUUAUACCCUGGGAUGAAAGACUAGUUCUGAUAUACCCUGGGAUGAAAGACUAGUUCUGGUUCACCUGUUGAUUGAUGUUAUACCCUGGGAUGAAAGGCUAGUUCUGUUAUACCCUGGGAUGAAAGGCUAGUUCUGGUUCACCUGUUGAUUGAUGUUAUACCCUGGGAUGAAAGGCUAGUUCUGUUAUACCCUGGGAUGAAAGGCUAGUUCUGUUAUACCCUGGGAUGAAAGGCUAGUUCUGUUAUACCCUGGGAUGAAAGGCUAGUUCUGGUAUACCCUGGGAUGAAAGGCUAGUUCUGGUUCACCUGUUGAUUGAUGUUAUACCCUGGGAUGAAAGACUAGUUCUGGUUCACCUGUUGAUUGAUGUUAUACCCUGGGAUGAAAGGCUAGUUCUGAAUCACCUGUUGAUUGAUGAUAUACCCUGGGAUGAAAGGCUAGUUCUGAUAUACCCUGGGAUGAAAGACUAGUUCUGGUUCACCUGUUGAUUGAUGAUAUACCCUGGGAUGAAAGGCUAGUUCUGUUAUACCCUGGGAUGAAAGACUAGUUCGGGUUCACCUGUUGAUUGAUGAUAUACCCUGGGAUGAAAGGCUCGUUCUGUUAUACCCUGGGAUGAAAGACUAGUUCUGGUUCACCUGUUGAUUGAUGAUAUACCCUGGGAUGAAAGGCUAGUUCUGUUAUACCCUGGGAUGAAAGACUAGUUCUGGUUCACCUGUUGAUUGAUGAUAUACCCUGGGAUGAAAGACUAGUUCUGUUAUACCCUGGGAUGAAAGACUAGUUCUGGUUCACCUGUUGAUUGAUGAUAUACCCUGGGAUGAAAGGCUAGUUCUGUUAUACCCUGGGAUGAAAGGCUAGUUCUGUUAUACUCUGGGAUGAAAGGCUAGUUCUGAUAUACCCUGGGAUGAAAGGCUAGUUCUGGUUCACCUGUUGAUUGAUGAUAUACCCUGGGAUGAAAGACUAGUUCUGAUAUACCCUGGGAUGAUAGGCUAGUUCUGUUAUACCCUGGGAUGAAAGACUAGUUCUGAAAUACCCUGGGAUGAAAGGCUAAUUCUGAUAUACCCUGGGAUGAAAGGCUAGUUCUGGUUCACCUGUUGAUUGAUGAUAUACCCUGGGAUGAAAGGCUAGUUCUGAUAUACCCUGGGAUGAAAGGCUAGUUCUGGUAUACCCUGGGAUGAAAGGCUAGUUCUGGUUCACCUGUUGAUUGAUGAUAUACCCUGGGAUGAAAGGCUAGUUCUGGAUCACCUAUUGAUUGAUGAUAUACCCUGGGAUGAAAGGCUAGUUCUGGUUCACCUGUUGAUUGAUGAUAUACCCUGGGAUGAAAGGCUAGUUCUGGUAUACCCUGGGAUGAAAGGCUAGUUCUGGUUCACCUGUUGAUUGAUGAUAUACCCUGGGAUGAAAGGCUAGUUCUGGAUCACCUAUUGAUUGAUGAUAUACCCUGGGAUGAAAGGCUAGUUCUGGUAUACCCUGGGAUGAAAGGCUAGUUCUGGUUCACCUGUUGAUUGAUGAUAUACCCUGGGAUGAAAGGCUAGUUCUGGAUCACCUAUUGAUUGAUGAUAUACCCUGGGAUGAAAGGCUAGUUCUGGUUCACCUGUUGAUUGAUGAUAUACCCUGGGAUGAAAGGCUAGUUCUGGUUCACCUGUUGAUUGAUGAUAUACCCUGGGAUGAAAGGCUAGUUCUGGUUCACCUGUUGAUUGAUGAUAUACCCUGGGAUGAAAGGCUAGUUCUGGUUCACCUGUUGAUUGAUGAUAUACCCUGGGAUGAAAGGCUAGUUCUGGUAUACCCUGGGAUGAAAGGCUAGUUCUGGUUCACCUGUUGAUUGAUGAUAUACCCUGGGAUGAAAGGCUAGUUCUGGUAUACCCUGGGAUGAAAGGCUAGUUCUGGUUCACCUGUUGAUUGAUGAUAUACCCUGGGAUGAAAGGCUAGUUCUGUUAUACUCUGGGAUGAAAGACUAGUUCUGGUUCACCUGUUGAUUGAUGUUAUACCCUGGGAUGAAAGGCUAGUUCUGAUAUACCCUGGGAUGAAAGGCUAGUUCUGGUUCACCUGUUGAUUGAUGAUAUACCCUGGGAUGAAAGGCUAGUUCUGGUUCACCUGUUGAUUGAUGAUAUACCCUGGGAUGAAAGGCUAGUUCUGGUUCACCUGUUGAUUGAUGAUAUACCCUGGGAUGAAAGGCUAGUUCUGGUUCACCUGUUGAUUGAUGAUAUACCCUGGGAUGAAAGGCUAGUUCUGUUAUACCCUGGGAUGAAAGGCUAGUUCUGUUAUACCCUGGGAUGAAAGGCUAGUUCUGGAUCAGUCAGGAUACUCUUCAAAAAAGGUCCAAAGCAACAUGUUUAUUUUUUGGCAUUCUGGUACGACUCUUUUUACAGUGUCUUCACAUAACGUCAGAUUCCUCCAUCUUGUUUUACUGUGGUGGUGUUGUAGUUUUGUUCUGUGUCUCGGUCUGUUGCCACUUCCUGUAGCCGUUCAGGUCUGACUGAGGGUGUAUCCCAAAUAGCAACCUAUUCAUUAUGUAGGGGAUUACUGUUGACCAGAGACCUAUGGCCAAAACUAGUGCACUAUAUAUAGUGAAUAAGGUGCUAUUUGUGACGUGAGCCUGACUCCAGGUCAGUUCCCUGACAGGUCAGAGCCAGUGGGUCUGAGAGGCUGAGGUCCUGUACUCCUGAUCGUAGUAGAUCUGUCCUCCCAGCUGAGUGACUCGGGGCUGUUGUGCUGUAGAACAGAGGGAGGAGAAUGGUACACACCGAGAGAAGAAGAAGAGAGAGAGGCUACUUUCACCGGUACACACCGAGAGAAGAAGAAGAGAGAGAGGCUACUUUCACCAGUACACACCGAGAGAAGAAGAAGAGAGAGAGGCUACUUUCACCUACAGUUUCAAAUUAAAAAAAAUAAAAAUAAAAAAUGUUUCUUGUUCAUAUACAUUUUGUUUGUUUUUAAGAUGGCAUUAAGAAGAAAGGAAAACCUCUAAAUGUACAUUGUCUGUCUGUAAAUAUUUGCACCGGUGGUGCUCUCUGGUUCUAGUAUUGUGUAGGAGAGGAAGACUGUGAUAGCGGUGUACAUGUAUCAACCUGUAGAAAGCAGCAGGGAAUCACCAUUCAACACACAAAAUGACUUUCCACUCGUUGAAUCUGGAGCAUGAAUGUCUUCAUCCCCUGUCAUCUCUCUUCAUCCUAACACGUUCAAACUUUUAAUAAACAUGUGUUGGCUUUUGUAUCCAGAA